rnacentral:rRNA from 1 species
CCUACGGGUGGCAGCAGUGGGGAAUCUUGCACAAUGGGGGAAACCCUGAUGCAGCGACGCCGCGUGAGUGCAGAAGUAAUUCGUUAUGUAAAGCUCUAUCAGAAGGGAAGAAAAUGACGGUACCUGAGUACGAAGCACCGGCUAACUACGUGCCAGCAGCCGCGGUACUACGUAGGGGGCAAGCGUUAUCCUGAUUUACAGGGUGUGAAGGGAGCGUAGACGGCAGUGCAAGUCUGUAGUUAAAGGCGGGGGCUCAACCCACGGACGGCUCUGGAAACUGUACGGCUGGAGUGCAUGAGAGGGAAGUGGAAGUCCUAGUGUAGCGGUGAAAUGCGUAGAUAUUAGGAGGAACACCAGUGGCGAAGGCGGCUUACUGGACUGUAACUGACGUUGAGGCUCGAAAGCGUGGGGAGCAAACAGGAUUAGAUACCCCAGUAGUC